rnacentral:rRNA from 1 species
UAGGGAAUCUUCGGCAAUGGGGGGAACCCUGACCGAGCAACGCCGCGUGAGUGAAGAAGGUUUUCGGAUCGUAAAGCUCUGUUGUUAAGGAAGAACGAGUGUGAGAAUGGAAAGUUCAUACUGUGACGGUACUUAACCAGAAAGGGACGGCUAACUACGUGCCAGCAGCCGCGGUAAUACGUAGGUCCCGAGCGUUGUCCGGAUGUAUUGGGCGUAAAGCGAGCGCAGGCGGUUAGAUAAGUCUGAAGUUAAAGGCAGUGGCUCAACCAUUGUAGGCUUUGGAAGCUGUUUAACUUGAGUGCAGAAGGGGAGAGUGGAAUUCCAUGUGUAGCGGUGAAAUGCGUAGAUAUAUGGAGGAACACCGGUGGCGAAAGCGGCUCUCUGGUCUGUAACUGACGCUGAUGCUCGAAAGCGUGGGGAGCGAACAGG